rnacentral:rRNA from 1 species
GCCUUCUGAGCCUUCGGGCGAGGAAGAAAAGGUAGCUUCGGCCUCCGAUCGAGGAUGAGCCCGCGGUGGAUUAGCUUGUUGGCGGGGUAAUGGCCCACCAAGGCGACGAUCCAUAGCUGGUCUGAGAGGACGAUCAGCCACACUGGGACUGAGACACGGCCCAGACUCCUACGGGAGGCAGCAGUGGGGAAUCUUGCGCAAUGGGCGAAAGCCUGACGCAGCGACGCCGCGUGGGGGAAGAAGGCCUUAGGGUUGUAAACCUCUUUCAGGUGGGACGAAGCCACUCGGGUUAAUAGCCCAGAGGGUGACGGUACCGCCAGAAGAAGCCCCGGCUAACUACGUGCCAGCAGCCGCGGUAAUACGUAGGGGGCAAGCGUUGUCCGGAUUUAUUGGGCGUAAAGAGCGUGUAGGCGGCCAGGUAGGUGGGUUGUGAAAACUGGAGGCUCAAUCUUCAGACGUC